GCAUGGAAGGAAAUUAAAAAAAAAAAAAAAAUUAUCCAAGACAUUUCAAAUCAGAAUUAAGGUGGUCUGCUACAUCAUGUUCAAAGGAAGAUGUGUUCAAAGGCAAACACUAACCACAAUUUUGUUCACAAAGCUCAAUAUUAAACGAGUCCUAUGUAAGAAACUCCUUUAGAAAAUAUAUCCCUGCAUGGACUUUAAAAGCUGGUCUUACAGUUUUUUUUGAAAAAUAGAUAACUAAAAAUGUUUUGUCCAGCAGAGCUAGACAAUAGGCUGGCUUUUUCAUCAUACUAACAAUUUUCAUCUUUUCUCCAGUCACAUUUCUGCUAACUACUACAUGGGGCCAUGUGAUGAUUCUUUGGACCCCAUGCACAGUUUGUAUUGUUGGGGAUCCAGAUUGGGGUCAUGGAACACAGGGUGUUGGACAUGCACUAUGCCAACUUUCUUGCUUCUGUACAUCUUCAAACAUGUUUGAAGAACAUUGUCGAAGAUGUCCACAUCCUUCAGCCCCAGCCAUGAAUGGAAAUUUCCACCCACUUGGACAAGAUGUACUGUUAGAGUCGGGCAAACGUCGGAGGAAAGUACCACCAAGAGACUGUCUCAUGCAAAAGCAAAGGGGUUUAUUGGACCAGCAUGCUGGGGCUCAGAGCUCUCCUGAGAGAAGCUGGAGCCCUGAGCACAGCUUAAGCAGAGUUUUUAUGCAGUGUUUAAACAGGGAAGUUCAUAUGGCAGUUAGGGUGCGAGGGUGGGAUUGUUACAAAAUAACCAUUACAGAAUAAUCAUGCGUUUUGUCAGGGGGUGUUGGGUCAGGGUACAUUUUGACAUAAGUAACUGUUUUUAACAUAAGUUUCGGGUUCCAGGAAAACAGCUUAAUCUUACAGAAAAGCAAAACUUAACAGGAGAGCAAAACUUAAAUUUAACCUUUACAGUACAAGAAAUGCCAAAUAUAUAGUUUCUCCAAAAGCCAAUUUUUUCAGUAAAAGGAAAAAUUGUUGUCCCUGGUAACGUUCCCACCAUAAAUAAUCUUUCAAUCACACUAUCUAAAGAUGACUAGGGAAUGUUUCUUGGCCCCAAACUCUAUUUGCUCAACACUGUUGCAGGAGUUCCAUGGUAAUCACCAGGUCAACUUCACAAAAGGAAUACAAAGAUUUGUUAUGAAAUGGGAGGAUCCCACUUUGAGGGCCAGAAUAAUUGAAAAUUCUAAAGGUACAGGCAAAAACUUCAUUUCACCUUUAGGGUACUUACUGCUGUAAUCUCUCAUCAGUUCCACUAGUUUGUUCUUAUCAGGGUUGGUGUCAGAAUUAAAAAGUAGUACCACCACUUUGGAGCGUUGACUUGGGGUGGGACAAGUGUUCCCAAAAUUUCACAGAAACCUCACAAACAUGUUGAAACAUCCAGAUGAUGGCAUCAGUAUAUGACAUUUUCAUCUUUGGGCUCUUUGUGUUUGUUCUUGGAUCCAGGUAAUGGAAAGUAAAAAGCUGCUUCAGGGAACUGGAAAGGAAAUAUAUCGAUCUAGACUUCUAGCAGCACAAUUUAUAAUAGCUAAAUUGUGGAACCAAACCAGAUGCCCUUCAGUAGAUGAAUACACAGAGAAACUUUUAUAUAUAUACACAAUGGAAUAUUACUCAGAACUAAAAGAGAAUAAAAUAAUAGCAUUUACAAAUAAAUGGUUGGAGUAGGAGAAUAUAAUUCUAAGUGAAGUAAGCCAAUCCAAAAAUAUCAAAGGCCAAAUGCUUUCUUUGAUAUGAGGAUGCUGAUUCAUAAUGAUGAUAGCAGGGCAUGGGAGGAAUGGAAGAACUUUAGAUAGGGCAAAGGGAA
rnacentral:lncRNA from 1 species